GAUGAACGCUAGCGGCAGGCUUAACACACUGCAAGUCGAGGGGCAUCGGGAGGGAAGCUUGCUUUCCUUGCCGGCGACCGGCGCACGGGUGAGUAACACGUAUGCAACCUGCCCUCUUCAGGGGGACAACCUUCCGAAAGGGAGGCUAAUCCCGCGUAUAUCGGUUUCGGGCAUCCGAGAUCGAGGAAAGAUUCAUCGGAAGAGGAUGGGCAUGCGGCGCAUUAGCUUGACGGCGGGGUAACGGCCCACCGUGGCGACGAUGCGUAGGGGUUCUGAGAGGAAGGUCCCCCACACUGGUACUGAGACACGGACCAGACUCCUACGGGAGGCAGCAGUGAGGAAUAUUGGUCAAUGGGAGAGAUCCUGAACCAGCCAAGCCGCGUGAGGGAAGACGGCCCUAUGGGUUGUAAACCUCUCUUGUCGGAGAACAAAACCCGGGACGUGUCCCGGACUGCGUGUAUCCGAAGAAAAAGCAUCGGCUAACUCCGUGCCAGCAGCCGCGGUAAUACGGAGGAUGCGAGCGUUAUCCGGAUUUAUUGGGUUUAAAGGGUGCGUAGGCGGUCCGUUAAGUCAGCGGUAAAAUUGCGGGGCUCAACCCCGUCGAGCCGUUGAAACUGGCAGACUUGAGUUGGCGAGAAGUACGCGGAAUGCGCGGUGUAGCGGUGAAAUGCAUAGAUAUCGCGCAGAACUCCGAUUGCGAAGGCAGCGUACCGGCGCCAGACUGACGCUGAGGCACGAAAGCGUGGGGAUCGAACAGGAUUAGAUACCCUGGUAGUCCACGCAGUAAACGAUGAAUGCUGGUUGUCCGGGUCGAAUGAGAUCUGGGCGGCGAAGCGAAAGCGAUAAGCAUUCCACCUGGGGAGUACGCCGGCAACGGUGAAACUCAAAGGAAUUGACGGGGGCCCGCACAAGCGGAGGAACAUGUGGUUUAAUUCGAUGAUACGCGAGGAACCUUACCCGGGCUCAAACGGGAGUGGAAUGGACCAGAGACGGUUCAGCCUACGGGCCGCUUCCGAGGUGCUGCAUGGUUGUCGUCAGCUCGUGCCGUGAGGUGUCGGCUUAAGUGCCAUAACGAGCGCAACCCCCGCCGGCAGUUGCUAACGGGCAAUGCCGAGGACUCUGCCGGGACUGCCGCCGCAAGGCGAGAGGAAGGCGGGGAUGACGUCAAAUCAGCACGGCCCUUACGUCCGGGGCGACACACGUGUUACAAUGGGCGGUACAGCGGGAAGCCAGGCGGCGACGCCGAGCGGAACCCGAAAGCCGUUCUCAGUUCGGAUCGGAGUCUGCAACCCGACUCCGUGAAGCUGGAUUCGCUAGUAAUCGCGCAUCAGCCAUGGCGCGGUGAAUACGUUCCCGGGCCUUGUACACACCGCCCGUCAAGCCAUGGGAGCCGGGGGUGCUUGGAGUGCGUCGCCGCGAGGCGCGCCCUAGAGCAAAACCGGUGACUGGGGC
rnacentral:rRNA from 1 species